rnacentral:sRNA from 1 species
CUUUCUCUCGGGUGAGGGAUAGCAGUGGAAAUCCUUUUAUGGAAUAAAAGAUUGCAACGCAUAGCCCGACCGUAG